UGGGGAAUUUUGGACAAUGGGGGAAACCCUGAUCCAGCCAUCCCGCGUGUGCGAUGAAGGCCUUCGGGUUGUAAAGCACUUUUGGCAGGAAAGAAACGUCGUGGGUUAAUACCCCGCGAAACUGACGGUACCUGCAGAAUAAGCACCGGCUAACUACGUGCCAGCAGUCGCGGUAAUACGUAGGGUGCAAGCGUUAAUCGGAAUUACUGGGCGUAAAGCGUGCGCAGGCGGUUCGGAAAGAAAGAUGUGAAAUCCCAGAGCUUAACUUUGGAACUGCAUUUUUAACUACCGGGCUAGAGUGUGUCAGAGGGAGGUGGAAUUCCGCGUGUAGCAGUGAAAUGCGUAGAUAUGCGGAGGAACACCGAUGGCGAAGGCAGCCUCCUGGGAUAACACUGACGCUCAUGCACGAAAGCGUGGGGAGCAAACAGGAUUAGAUACCCUGGUAGUCCACGCCCUAAACGAUGUCAACUAGCUGUUGGGGUCUUCGGACCUUGGUAGCGCAGCUAACGCGUGAAGUUGACCGCCUGGGGAGUACGGUCGCAAGAUUAAAACUUAAAUGAAUUGACGGGGUCAUAGCGUG
rnacentral:rRNA from 1 species